rnacentral:sRNA from 1 species
ACCUUGGUUUUCGGUCCCUUCGGCUUUUUUACCUUGGUUAGGUGUGCCUUCAGCCUUCUUGCCUUGAUUUUGUGUGUCUUCAGUUUUUUUAACUUCUGUUUUUGUUUUACUUUUCGCUGCUUCAAUAGUAAAAGUGCCUAAAAGAUUGCCGUUAUCUUUACUGUUGCUUUGUUGCUGUCCACCUUCUUUUUGACUACUUUGACCAGGCGCAUGAAUUUCCUGGGUAAAACUAGGGUACUCAAUGAAAGUAUCGUCGUUGAACUUUAAACGUUUUGAAUUUUCACCAGCAAACGCAUAAGCAUAACCAGAAGAGGAGGAAAUGCUGUAGGCUAACUGGUGAAACUUCUGGAAGUUAGAGGUGUAAGAACCCCCUUUAUUGACAAACAAACCGUUGCUGUCU